UACGGAGGGCUAGCGUUGUUCGGAAUUACUGGGGCGUAAAGCGCACGUAGGCGGCUUGUAAGUUAGAGGUGAAAGCCCGGGGCUCACUCCGGAAUUGCCUUUAAGACUGCAUCGCUAGAAUUGUGGAGAGGUAAGUGGAAUUCCGAAGUGUAGAGGUGAAAUUCGUAGAUAUUGGAAGAACACCAGUGGCGAAGGCGACUUACUG
rnacentral:rRNA from 1 species